rnacentral:tRNA from 1 species
GGGCAAGUAGCUCAGUGGUAAAGCUCCCACUCUAUGCGGGAAGACCUGGGUUCGAUUCCCGGCUGCUUA